AUACGUAGGUGACAAGCGUUGUCCGGAUUUAUUGGGCGUAAAGCGAGCGCAGGCGGGUCCGGUAAGUCUGAUGUGAAAGCCCACGGCUCAACCGUGGAACGGCAUUGGAAACUGGCGGACUUGAAUGUAGCAGAGGAAAGUGGAUUUCCAUGUGUAGCGGUGGAAUGCGUAGAUAUAUGGAGGAACACCAGUGGCGAAAGCGACUUUCUGGGCUAUGAUUGACGCUGAGGCUCGAAAGCGUGGGGAGCGAACAGGAUUAGAUACCCUGGUAGUCCACGCCGUAAACGAUGAGUGCUAAGUGUUGGAGGGUUUCCGCCCUUCAGUGCUGGAGUUAACGCAUUAAGCACUCCGCCUGGGGAUUACGACCGCAAGGUUGAAACUCAAAAGAAUUGACGGGGACCCGCACAAGCGGUGGAGCAUGUGGUUUAAUUCGAAGCAACGCGAAGAACCUUACCAGCUCUUGACAUCUUCUGCUAGCUUCAGAGAUGAAGGGUUCCCUUCGGGGACGGAAUGACAGGUGGUGCAUGGUUGUCGUCAGCUCGUGUCGUGAGAUGUUGGGUUAAGUCCCGUAACGAGCGCAACCCUUAUUGUUAGUUGCCAGCAUUGAGUUGGGCACUCUAGCAAGACUGCCGGUGAUAAACCGGAGGAAGGCGGGGAUGACGUCAAAUCAUCAUGCCCCUUAUGAGCUGGGCUACACACGUGCUACAAUGGAUGGUACAACGAGUAGCGAGACCGCGAGGUUUAGCUAAUCUCCCAAAGCCAUUCUCAGUUCGGAUUGCAGGCUGCAACUCGCCUGCAUGAAGUCGGAAUCGCUAGUAAUCGCGGAUCAGAAUGCCGCGGUGAAUUCGUUCCCGGUCUUGCACACACRGC
rnacentral:rRNA from 1 species